rnacentral:rRNA from 1 species
UUACUAUGUUUUCGACUUAUUCCUUUGGGGGGAAGUGACGGGCGGUAUGUACACUCCUUUUUACAAUAUUCAAGCUAUUUUAAUAAAAUAACCUUACUUUUAAAUUCAUUUAUUUUGUAUAUCAACAAAUUGAUUCAUCAAGAUUUUUGAUCCACAAACUUUCAAUACCAUAAUCUUCAUCUUUACCUGACUUAACAGCUUAAAACUGACAAAAUAAAAAUUUAUGCUUUUCUUUUCAGUCGGCGAUAUGGAGGAUGAGAGAACUAAGUGUAGUAAGAUUGGGGUGGAUUAUCCAUCAGGUCCAUGGAUCUCUAAUUUGAAAAGGGGCCGCCACAAACCAUAGUUAAUCUUUAGAAAAAAGUUAUAAGAAUAAUAGGGUAUCUAUUCCCUAGUUUA